GAUGAACGCUGGCGGCGUGCCUAAUACAUGCAAGUCGAACGCAGUGGGGACGGGUGAGUAACACGUGGGUAACCUCCCAUCAGAGGGGAUAACACUUGGAAACAGGUGCUAAACCGAUACUGAUGGAUGGACACGCGGUGCUGUAGCUAGUUGGUGAGGUAACGGCUCACCAAGGUCACGAUGCAUAGCCCACCCGAGAGGGUGAUCGGCCACCCUGGAACCAGGACCCGGCCCAGACUCCUACGGGAGGCAGCAUGAGGGAAUCUUCGGCAAUUGCCGAAAGUCUGACCGAGCAACGCCGAGUGAGUGAAGAAGGUUUUCGGAUCGUAAAACUCUGUUGUUAGAGAAGCGGUAUCUAACCAGAAAGCCACGGCUAACUACGUGCCAGCAGCCGCGGUAAUUC
rnacentral:rRNA from 1 species